AAACCGGCCCUUUUUAGGGCCACAAAUAACAAAAUUACCCAAAGUAG
rfam:Oikopleura dioica, whole genome shotgun assembly, reference scaffold set, scaffold scaffold_9